CUACGGGAGGCAGCAGUAAGGAAUAUUGCGCAAUGGGCGAAAGCCUGACGCAGCGACGCCGCGUGGGGGAUGAAGGUCUUCGGAUUGUAAACCCCUUUCGGGAGGGAAGAUGGAAUGGGGUAACCCAUUCGGACGGUACCUCCAGAAGCAGCCACGGCUAACUUCGUGCCAGCAGCCGCGGUAAUACGAAGGUGGCAAGCGUUAUUCGGAUUUACUGGGCGUACAGGGAGCGUAGGCGGUUCGGUAAGCCCUUUGUGAAAUCUUCAGGCUUAACCUGGAACAGUCGGAGGGGACUGCCGGGCUAGAGGACGGGAGAGGAGCGCGGAAUUCCCGGUGUAGCGGUGAAAUGCGUAGAGAUCGGGAGGAAGGCCGGUGGCGAAGGCGGCGCUCUGGAACGUUUCUGACGCUGAGGCUCGAAAGCGUGGGGAGCAAACAGGACUAGAUACCCCGGUAGUCC
rnacentral:rRNA from 1 species